UUAAUACUUGCUUGGACCAGUGUAAGCAUGCCAGGGCAAAUAUUUAGGCUAAAUUGUGGGAGCUAAGAACACAAAGUACAUUGAUUUCUUUAUUAUAGCUAGCAGAUAUCUAAGAAUGUUAGCACAGGUCUUUGAAUAAAUUUUGUUUCUGAGAGAAGUUACUAUUUAUUCCUAAUUAGACGGGGAGGAAAGUCUCUUUGAAGAGGAACCUCUAUUUUAUUUUUACACUCAGAAGCCCGGGCAGCUCUGCCGGGAGUGCAGGGAGGCAGCUCUCCUGGGGGUGCAGAACACAUUGGAUACACCGGUUAUUUUACCAAGGCUUUGGCUGGAAUGUUACAUUUUUGAAUGUGACCAAACUGCUUUGAGGAAUUGAGGCUGACUUUAUAAAGCCAAUAGACAUGGGAAAGACUGGCCUCAUGCCUUGCCCACACGGUUCUCUUACAAGGUUCCUCAGCUUGCGAUCUAAACAGAAAAAAAUAUAAUUUAAAAUUUUCUAACCUUAAGCUUAAAUAUAUUGUGGAGAAAGAUGCCAAAUUAUCCACUACAUAAGAUCUUCAUGGUGUCUUGGAUAGAUCACUGACAAGUAAUACUUACGCAGAUCACUUCCUCCCCAAGGCUUCAGCCUGCCAAUGGAAAGAGGUUUUGGUAUCAGGAUGACACCAAAAGCAAUGGCAACAAAAGCCAAAAUUGACAAAUGGAAUCUAAUUAAACUAAAGAGCUUCUGCACAGCAAAAGAAACUAUCAUCAGAGUGAACAGGCAACCUACAGAAUGGGAGAAAAUUCCUGCAAUCUAUCCAUCUGACAACGGGCUAAUAUCCAGAAUCUACAAGGAACUUAAACAAAUUUACAAGAAAAAAGCAAACAACCCCAUCAAAAAAUAGGUGAAGAAUAUGAACAGACACUUCUCAAAAGAAGACAUACAUGCAGCCAACAAACAUAUGAAAAAAAGCUUAUCAUCACUGGUCAUUAGAGAAAUGCAAAUCAAAACCACAAUGAGAUACCAUCUCAUGCCAGUUAGAAUGCAGAUCAUUAAAAAGUCAGGAAACAACAGGUGCUGGAGAAAUAGGAACGCUUUUACACUGUUGGUGGGAGUGUAAAUUAGUUCUACCAUUGUGGAAGACAGUGUGGCGAGGAUCUAGAAUCAAAAAUGCCUUUUGACCCAGCAAUCCCAUUACUGUGUAUAUACCCAAAGGAUUAUAAAUUAUUCUACUAUAAAGACAUAUGCACACAUAUGUUUAUUGCAGCACUAUUCACAAUAGCAAAGUCUUGAAACCCAAAUGCCCAUCAAUGAUAGACUGGAUUAAGCAAAUGUGGCACAUAUACACCACGGAAUACUAUGCAGCCAUGGAAAAGGAUGAGUUCAUGUCCUUUGUAGGGACAUGGAUGAAGCUGGAAACCAUCAUUCUCAGCAAACUAUCUCAGGGACAAAAAUACAAACACCACAUGUUCUCACUUAUAGGUGGGAAUUGAACAAUGAGAACACUUGGACACAGGAAGGGGAACAUCACACACUGGGGCCUGUUGAGGGGUGGUAGGUGGGGGGAGGGAUAGCAUUAGGAGAUAUACCUAAUGUAAAUGACGAGUUAAUGGGUGCAGCACACCAACAUGGCACAUGUAUACAUAUGUAACAAACCUGCACAUUGUGCACAUGUACCCUAGAACUUAAAGUAUAAUAAUUAAAAAAAAGAAAUUUGAUCCCCAAUGUUGAAGGUGGGGCCUAGUGGGAGAUGUUUGGGUCAUGGUGGUGGAUCUCUUAUUAAUAGACUGAUUUCCUGGGGUGAUGAGGGGAGUGAGUGAGUUCUUAGUUUGUUAGUUCUGCUAGAGAUGGUUGCAAAAAAUAGCUUGACACCUUCCCUCUUUCUCUUUUUUUCACUUCCUCUCCCACUGUGUGAUCUCUAUACUCUGCCUCUCCUUCCCCUUCAGCCAUAAGUGGAAGCAGCUUGAGGUCCUCAUCAGAUGUAGAUGCUGGCACCAUGCUUCUUGUACAGACUGAAGAGCCAUGAACUAAAUAAAUCUCCCUUCUUUGUAAAUUACCCAGUCUCGGGUAUUUCUUUGCAGCAAUGCUAACAGACUAAAACAUUACUACAAUUGCAUUGAUCUUCAGAUAGAUAACAAAAGAUGAGUCAAUUGACAAACCAUUGAAAAUUAAAUGUGAGAACCAGAGUGUCAGUCACUCACAAAGAGGUCCUCAUCUCUUGCAACAAGCAGGCAGAAAAAAUGGAGAUCAUUUUCAGGGUUCAGUAGUCACAGUGGCUGAACUUCAAUGAUACCUGCAUGCUUAAUCAAGGUAGCUAUGUUAAGCCAAAUCUGGAGCCAGAGUUGGAAAAAAUCUAAGGCUUUGACACAUGGGAUAAGAAUUCUAGGUGGAUGCCUCCAAAGAUCUGGACUUCAAAGAUAUCACUAAACUUUCUAACACUGCAGAAGUGACCAACCCCUCCCUAUUCAGGGCAGGAAGACUAUCGAAGAGGCGCACGAUCAGAAACUGCCUUCCCCUCUUUUCCUCAACACCAGGCCUAUAAAUAUGGUUAAGUCACAGCACAGCUCAGCCAGGGAAAUAAGGAAAGAAUGGAACAAUACCACAAAAGAACUGCAAGAUCUAACAGACCUUCACCAACAAGGGGAGAACCAUGGUACUUGUCCUGAGGGUGCUGGACCAGGAGGCUGGUAGGCAAGGCUGGAUAAGUGAAAGUUUAUUGACCUGAUCUGGAAAGAAAAGAAAGGGAGUUUGGCAGCAGGGAGGUCUAGGGUAGAGGCAUAUUGAUAGGCAUAUGGAGUGGGCAUAAAGUGUGAAGGUCUUUGUAUCUUGUGUUAACACCUGGUCAGUAGGUAAAAUGACUCACCCAGUUGACAAAUUAGCCUACUUCUUCUGUCAGCAACCACCCCAGUGCUGGCAUGAUGCCCACAAGAACAAAGUGGCCUGGCAGCAGAGAUAAAGGCUAUGCAAAAGCCCAAGCAACGUGGAACUCAUUUACCAAGACCAACCAGAUUUACUAGUUAUAAUGUGUAACUCCUCAAAAAAAUUACAAAUCAGUGCAUAGACCAUAUACAAAUAUACCCAUACACAUUUAGAAUUAAUGUGAUAUGAUUUCAUAUUGUAAUUCCUUAAACACAAAUUCAGUCAACUCUAUAUGAAUUGAAAUAAUACCAGUAAACAAUUCAGAUAUUUAUGUCAAAUUUCAUAUGUAAUAGAGACCACGUAAACAAUCAGUAGGGAUUUGUUUAACAAUUAUAAACCUAAAACCAGUUUAA
rnacentral:lncRNA from 1 species